rnacentral:lncRNA from 1 species
CCCCUCCUCCUCCCCCUCUCCUGAGGUUUUAAUGUAUUCUAAGGGCUGUGGAGCUAAGGGUAGGAGCUGCUGCUUUAUGACUUUAUGUUCUGCUUCUGCUGAGAGACCUGUGGAUAUCUGACUCAACGUAGUUGGCUUCAUUCCGUGCAGGUUGCUACCUCCCUGGCGAUCACACGGUCAUCAUAGUCAUUACUAGCACCCUCACCUUCAGCUCCCAAGGCUAUACCACAUAUUCAAAUCCUGGAGGUCUCAAACGGACUCACUUUGCCUCUGCCUUCACAUGCACAGAUCUUGGGUCAGAUGGACCUUUGGAACCAAACCUGUUCACCUUGAAAGAGGGUGAGCCUAUGGGACUUCCCCAAAGGAGCUCUAGGCUCCCCAGGACAUUCCAUUGCUCUACCUGGGUGGCAUUUGGGUACUUCAAGUGCCAGGGCCUUGGUGACAUGACCCAGCAGUCUCUUCUAACACUACAGGAUCAGCAAUUAAGCUCAUACUUAACAGAUAUGGAGAAGGUUGGCGAGGACGUAAGUCCAAGUCUGCAGCAGGGCCAGCCCUGUGGUGAACUGGCUUCCGCUGCAGCCUUUGCCAAGGCCACGGCUCCAGUAAUCAAAUGGCUGUUCUGGUGACUGCUGCCUCUAAGUGCAAGUGCCAGCAGAGACAGCGGGUAUCAUAGCUCCUGGAUCUGGGUUGGAGAAUCUGUGAGUUCCCCCAUGUGGGUGCUAGGAACUGAACUCAAUUCUUCUGCAAGAGCGCCGAGUGCCGUUAGCUGCUGAGCCAUCUCUCCAGGCUGUUCCGUAGGCAUUUUGUUGUUUGUUUUCUAAACCCAGGAUGCGUAUGUACUACAGUUUUACCCUCCUGUCUCUACCUCCUGAGUGCUGGGAUUGCAGGCCCCACCAUUUACCUAGCAUGGGGGAUUGAACCCAGGACCUCAUGCUCUCUGGACAAGCACUUUACCUGACUAAACGUCACCUGACUGUCUCCAGCCCAGGACAGUUCUUUUUUGGUUGGUUGGUUCUUGUACUUUUGAGACAGAAAUCCCCAUCUCACUGAGGAACACCUAAGCUGGAGGUCCCUGGACCCAUGCAACCCAGGCUGGCCCCAUGUCAUUAUGUAGGUGAGGGUGACCUUCGACUAUUGCUCCUCCUCCUUCUGCCUUCCAAAUACUGGAAUCACAGACAGCCUUGUGCCACCGCACAAUCUCUGCUUGUUUUUAUUUUAUAUUUUUUUAAAACGUUUUUAAUUCUUUAAAAAAUAUAUUUAUUUACUUUCUGUUUGUUUGUUUGUUUUUCCUGCAGGGUUUUACUGUAUUGUUCAAGCUGGCCUUAAUACCUCAGCUGUCCUGAUCCUACCUCCUGUGUGCUGGAGUUAUAGUGCUCACGCCCUGCAGCUGCUCAAAGACUCUGAAGCAAGGAAGGGGACCCAUAAGCCAGCAAGCGGCUCAGUGGAGUGGCAUCCCCACCCGAGAGACUUGGGGACCUGACAUGAGGAAUCAGGAGAGAAUUCCCAAGCCAGAGGCCGGCUGUGAAUCCAAGAACACAGAGAUCCAGUCUUGAGGGCAAUGUGUCCGGGCAGGAGUGGGUCUCCGUGGAAUCUCAGGCCGUCAGCUACCAUCAUGUAUACAGAUGUUCCAUGAGGAGGUUUGCUUGGAUCCCACGGCCCAGCAUUCCUGUUCAGCCUCAUUCUCCCUCUGAUCCAGCAUCGUUUCUGAGACCUGUCUCCCAGGUGGUCAUUUCUCUUCUCUCCUGUCUGGCAUCCGAUCCUAAGUAAACAAGUGACUAAUAUAAUCAUGAUGAUAGACUCAGAUUGUAUUUCAAGUGUUGUGUACACCGAGACAGUGUAUACAGAGAUAGAUCAUGUACACCGAGACUGUGUAUACAGAGAUAGAUCGUGUACACCAAGACAGUGUAUACAGAGAUAGAUCGUGUACACCGAGACAGUGUAUACAGAGAUAGAUCGUGUACACUGAGACUGUGUACAUUGAGACUGUGUAUACCAAGACUGUGUAUACAGAGAUUGUGUACACCAUGCGAUAGAGAUCCAUAUAUUUCAUUUUAAAAGUCUUUU